rnacentral:tmRNA from 1 species
GGGGGCGUUUUGGAUUCGACGGGGAUUGUUCGAGCAUGAAUAGCGGGUCGUGGGGCCGCGAGGCCACGUAAAAAACGCGGACCUAAAUUUAACUGGCAAAACUAAGAAAAGCUUUACCUCAAACAGCAACCUCGCCCUCGCUGCUUAAUUGCAGUUAGGCCGUCAUCUUGUCUGUCUCCCGUGCAGACUUGGUGACGUCAACUUAGCGGGAUAGUCGGCGGCACGUGCUCGUGGGCCACCGGCGAAACUUAACGAGCUGACCAUUUCGCAAGCGCGUGUGUCCGCGUGCGGAUGGGACAUGUAAAAGACGCACUACACCCGUAGAAGUUCAUGUCGCGAGGUCUUCGGACGCGGGUUCGACUCCCGUCGCCUCCACCA